GAUAAGAGGAGGAGAAGGAGGAAGAGGAGGAGGAGGAAGCGGGCCAGCUCUUUGUCCCCUGCUGUUCCUGCUCUUGCUCUGAAAAGAAAGAACCCACGCUCAAGCGUCUGCUGGACACGUCAAAAAAAGAAAAGAAAAAAGAAUCAUCUGCCGGAGGAGCGAGCGGGGAUCGGAGGGGGCCGGGAGCAGCUGGGAUCGGGAUCCUCUCUCUUCCUUGCAUUGAUGGCUUCCCUGGGCUUGCCCGGACCCUCCUCCUACCACGACCUCUGCUGCUACGGGGCAGGAAUCGCAGGGAACAUCUUUGCCUUUGUGCUCUUCAUCUCCCCGCUCCCAACAUUCAGGAGGAUCGUCCGGAAUGGGUCGACGGAGCAGUUCUCGGCCACGCCCUACAUCUACUCGCUCCUCAACUGCCUCGUCUGCAUGUGGUACGCCCUCCCCUUCGUCUCCUACGGCGUCGUCCUGGUCGCCACCGUCAACACCAUCGGCGCCGCCUUCCAGCUUGCCUACACCGCCGUCUUCAUCGCCUACGCCGACGCCAAGAAAAGGCUCAAGGUGUCCGUGCUGCUGGCAGGGGUGUUCUGUGUGUUCGGCCUGAUUGUGUAUGUCAGUAUGGCGCUGUUUGAUCACAAGCCUCGGCGAACAUUCGUCGGCUAUCUCAGCGUGGCGUCCCUCAUAUUCAUGUUCGCAUCCCCUCUGUCCAUCAUUAAUUUGGUGAUCAGGACCAAGAGUGUGGAGUACAUGCCCUUUUAUUUGUCGCUAUCGAUGUCCCUGAUGAGCAUGUCGUUUUUCGCAUACGGGGUGCUUCUGGAUGACUUCUUCAUAUACGUUCCCAAUGGCAUCGGCACAGUCCUAGGUGUCAUACAGUUGUUGUUAUAUGCCUACUACAGUAGAAAGGGAUCGAGAGACGAAGCCAGACGGCCAUUACUAGUCACACAUACAUGAGCAUGCAAGACAAGAAGAUGGAUGAUUCCUAGGGCAUGUACAGUACAGCCAUCGCUGUAAGCCUACAGCCUGCCUGCAGCUCAGGGUUGAGGUUCUCUGCAUUAUUUUGUUUAUGUAAAAAGCUGGAGUAGUGCUAGUUUAAGGUCCUCGAGUCAUUUGUUUAUAUUGUUUUACCGGUCAGCCAUUAUUUGUUUAUUUGAUGCUAUGUGCGGCUAGCAUUAAUGGAUUACUGAUGUGUGUAUACUUUGAUGGAUGUAUCAUGUAUGUGAUCUCUACAAGUGUAGAAUACCAAUGAUCCCUCUUCAAGAAUUCGUCCGAUUAAUC
rnacentral:rRNA from 1 species